UACGAAGGGGGCUAGCGUUGCUCGGAUUGACUGGGCGUAAAGGGCGCGUAGGCGGUUCGUACAGUCAGACGUGAAAUUCCUGGGCUCAACCUGGGGCUGCGUUUGAUACGUGCGGACUUGAAUGCGGAAGAGGUCGUGGGAAUUCCCAGUGUAGAGGUGAAAUUCGUAGAUAUUGGGAAGAACACCGGUGGCGAAGGCGGCGACCUGGUCCGAUACUGACGCUGAGGCGCGAAAGCGUGGGGAGCAAACAGG
rnacentral:rRNA from 1 species